GGGUCAGCGACUUAUAUUCUGUAGCAAGGUUAACCGUAUAGGGGAGCCGUAGGGAAACCGAGUCUUAACUGGGCGAAUGAGUUGCAGGGUAUAGACCCGAAACCCGGUGAUCUAGCCAUGGGCAGGUUGAAGGUUGGGUAACACUAACUGGAGGACCGAACCGACUAAUGUUGAAAAAUUAGCGGAUGACUUGUGGCUGGGGGUGAAAGGCCAAUCAAACCGGGAGAUAGCUGGUUCUCCCCGAAAGCUAUUUAGGUAGCGCCUCGUGAACUCAUCUUCGGGGGUAGAGCACUGUUUCGACUAGGGGGUCAUCCCGACUUACCAACUCGAUGCAAACUACGAAUACCGAAGAAUGUUAUCACGGGAGACACACGGCGGGUGCUAACGUUCGUCGUGAAGAGGGAAACAACCCAGACCGCCAGCUAAGGUCCCAAAGUCAUAGUUAAGUGGGAAACGAAGUGGGAAGGCUCAGACAGCCAGGAUGUUGGCUUAGAAGCAGCCAUCAUUUAAAGAAAGCGUAAUAGCUCACUGGUCGAGUCGGCCUGCGCGGAAGAUGUAACGGGGCUAAACUAUGCACCGAAGCUGCGGCAGCGAUAUGUAAAUAUUGUUGGGUAGGGGAGCGUUCUGUAAGCCUGUGAAGGUGUACUGUGAGGUAUGCUGGAGGUAUCAGAAGUGCGAAUGCUGACAUAAGUAACGAUAAUGCGGGUGAAAAACCCGCACGCCGGAAGACCAAGGGUUCCUGUCCAACGUUAAUCGGGGCA
rnacentral:rRNA from 1 species